CUCCACGAAACCCCCCUCUCGAGCUCUUUCAGUCAUGAAACCCCUCUGUCUCUCUCUCCCCCCUUCACGAAACCCCUCUCACUAUCUCAGUCUCUCGAUCUCCUUGCUUCUAUUCUUUAUCCCCUGAAAUCCAAAUCCUCUUCAGCGAUGGAGGAGAUAAGAGUGCCCUAGAUCCACUUUCUCUCUCAUCCCUUCCUCUCCUGCUCUCCUUCCACGGCUACUGUCUCUGCCUCAUUGAACUACUGCCUCCGUCCCUUUACCGGCGCCAUCGCCUCUGCUGGUGCUUCUCGUUCAACGCCACGACGUCGUUGCUCCGAGGUCCGAACCCCAACUGGUCCAACCGGCCUCCAAGGAGUCUAUCCUCCUCGAUUGGUGCGACUUUGAACACCAAAUGCCAGCGAUAGAGGAACCGAACUCGUUGGAGUUGGGAACUGCUGAUAGUGACAGUGAAAGGCCUGGACUGAACUGGACUUCUUAUUGGGUUGGAGAUGACCUUUGCUUCUUCUUCUUCGUUUUUAUCUUUCCUUCUGCAAAAGUCGUGCAACGCCUUACCCAGCAACUUGGAUUCUCUACGGCCUUCCUUUCACCACCCGCCUGCGCUCUCUUGUCAGGCAGAUCAUGAAAAUGUCUGCAGUUCAAGCUGAAAAGCCCGGUUUAUCAUAUGAAUCCCUACCGAUAAAGCCUCCUUCACAUCCGACUUACGAUUUGUUGGGUGUCAUCAAGUCAGCCCUUGCUGAAGACGCUGGGGAUCGAGGCGAUGUGACAUGUCUGGCUACCAUUCCAUCUGAGAUGGAAGUAGAAAGCCCACUUCUUGGCAAAGGAGAAUUGUAUAGUUGCUGGAAUUGCACUUGCAGAGAUGGUAUUUUAUGAAGUUGAUCCCACUCUAAAGGUUGAGUGGUCACAAAAGGAUGGAGACUCCGUACAUAAAGGCUUAGAGUCUGGUAAAUACUAGUUACUACCUCGUACUUUAGGUCCAAAAUUAAUUCAGUCCAUGGACUUCUGAUUUCAUCAAAAACAUCCCUGCACUAUUAUUUUCCAUCUAAUUGAUCAUUCCGUCAGUAGUCUGUUAAUUAUAGGCGUUAACUUGCUGAUGUGGAUGCCAACUCAGCUCCUAUGGGGCCCACAUGCAAGGAAAAAUCUCAAAAUUACCCCUGGCUCUCUCUCUCUCUCUCUCUCACAUUGGGGUUCGGGAUCAUCCUUUACCGUAUGGUUGACACCCAGCGACAAGACCUUCCUGUUGGUGUAUCGAAUCAACUUCUUGCUCUCCGCAAAAAUUUCGAAUCACCACCUCAUCUCCUCCACACUUGUACCUCUUCUCGUACCUUAAAAAACAGUCAAAAGCAAAAGCAACUGAACCGAUCAUGAAGAUCAGACGGAGAAAAAUCAGUGACAGAACUGCACGGUGGCUCUGGCUGACUCAGUUGUAAGCAAAGAGAGCGAAGGAGCGGACGUGGCAAGUCUGGUCGAGGACUUGGACGACUUGGUUCUCCAGCUCACGAAGGCCGUCGGAGGCCAACCAGAUUCGGUUGGACUCAUCAAAUCUAGUUGCGAUGCAGUGAUCAGAACUACGGCUAAGAUAGACAGAACCAACAUCAAACGGCGCAGGUGAUUAUGUUCUUCUCCGAUGACCAUGCGGCGAGGGUUACUGCUCAGCUUUUGGUGGUUCAAGAACUUUUCUUUCCGGUUUAAACUGGGCAGAGGAAUCAAGCUUAGAUUUCCUGCUUCAUUAUCAGUAGCUGGAGCUGGCAGGCCUGAUUCUGGUCAAGCGGAAUCAUCAGGUUCUGAAGAAAGUUGCUGGGCAGAAGACUAAGCCUGCGCAUGAAAUUCAAACAACUGGUGCUGAUAAUCCAUUUCUCAAAUUCUGGUCCGUUCUUUGCCACAAAUUAGGAAGUUUUGUCAACAAUCUUAACCCUGGUCUAUUUCCCCCUUGAUUUCACCCAAUUAUCUUUCUGGAUUUUCUUGAUUUCGUCGAACUUCGAAGGAAGAGUAUUGGGUUUCCUAAUAUUUUUGAUUUGGGACUGUGUUUAGGGGAAAACCACCAUAAUAGAUUUUCGGUGAAAUUGGAGGGAGAGAGCGGGUAAUUUUGAGAUUUUCCCUUGCAUGUGGGCCCCAUAGUAGCUGAGUUGGCAUACCACGUCAGCGAGUUAACCCCUCUAAUUAACGGAUUACUGACAGAAUGAUCAAUUGGAUGGAAAAUAAUAAUGCAGGGGUGUUUUUGAUGAAAUCAGAAGUCCAGGGACUGAAUCGAUUUUGGACCUAAAGUACGAGGGAUUGUAGGAAUUUGCUGCAGGUGGUCAAUCAGUACUAACUACAUUUGAAAGUCAUAAUCGUUAGUUUACCAGAAGGGUUUGACAAAUGCUGUUGGAGGUGUUGGCCAAUUCAUUGAGUUAUGGGAAUGACUAACCAAAUCAUUAUGAGGGAGCUCUCACAUGUAGGGUAAGCUCUCAUUAUAUGCAUGUGGUUUACGUUUUAUUAGUAUUAAUGAAGCUCUGUUGCUUAGGCAUUAGACUGGCUAUGUAAAAUGAACUAAAAACAUAUAGAAGUGUACUGCAACAAUUGAUGAGGUUGCUGUUGGCGUAUUAAUUUCUUAUUGGCAUAUCUUGAUCAUUUACUAUUUUCAACAACAAUUUACUAUAAUUUUUUUCUUUUCUUUUUCCUUGUCUGCAUGGUAAAGGAGAAAUCUGUCCAGUUUAUUAUGAGUGUGGAGGAUAGCACAUAUUUCUUAUGAGUGUGUUACAAGCCAACUUGCACAUCUCUAAGCUAAUCCUUAAGUUCGUCUGGGUAUUUGCCAAAUGAACCUGCUUAUGGUGUGUGCUAGGCUUGUGAGCUUAGAACUGGGUAGACAUGGAACAGGGUCAAGUAGUAUUUUGUUAGAAUUAUUUCAUUGCAUGUCUUCUCAUUUUCUUUAUCUUAAUGUUGAUUCACCUCUUAAACUUGAAAAAAAAAAAAUGCAAGGAAUCCUUGUAUUUGCUUCUGUCAUGACAACACUGGGACUGCAGAUCAUCUUAGAGUCUAUGCGCACCCUAAUUUCAUAUGGUACUAAUCAGCAAGCACAGCAUGCAAAUGUAAAUAUGGUAUCCUUAUUUCAGUACUUCAACUUCACUGCACAUUCAAAUAAAUGACCUGUACAGUUUGUUGUUUUCAAGUAAGAGAGCUGAAAUAAGCGAAAGGCUACCCUGCAUUGAGAAUGAGAGCUCGACCCAUCACUUAAAGAUCUUGUAGGAGAGUUGGAAGGAGCCAUCAAGUUGGUUGAAGGAAAGCAUUUUGUUAAGUUCUGCUGAUACAUAUAUUCACAUGCAGCAACUGCAUAUGUGCAUGUUUUAUAUUGUAUCAGCUUUUGCUCUUUUUAAUUGUUAGCUAGAAUGCAGCAGCCAUCAAGCUAGCUAGAAUGCUUUCUUUUUUUGUUACAUGGUAUAGAUGAAUGUAUAUGGAUGAUUGAUAAAUGCUAGCUCUUUUGGUACAUGCUUGAA